AAGUUUUGGUGAGCUUGCUCAUCGGAGCCUUUAAGAGAUUGAUAGCGGCAAACGGGUGAGUAAUGCGUGGGUAACGUACCCAUAGGAGGGAGACAGCUUCGAGAAAUCGGAGGUAAUAUCCCAUAGCCCCUUGACAUUAAAGUGUCAAGGGUAAAGAUGGCCUCUACUUGUAAGCUAUCACCUUAGGAGCGGCCCACGUCCUAUCAGGUAGUUGGUGGGGUAACAGCCUACCAAGCCAAAGACGGGUAGCUGGCGUAAGAGCGUGACCAGCCACAUCGGGACUGAGAAACUGCCCGGACUCCUACGGGAGGCUGCAGUCGAGAAUCUUUCCCAAUGGACGAAAGUCUGAGGAUGCGACGCCGCGUGGGGGAUGAAGGUUUUCGGAUUGUAAACCCCUUUUACUGGGGAGGAACCUAUUGAUACGAAUAAUAUCAAUGGUUGACUGUACCCUAUGAAUAAGCCACGGCUAACUCCGUGCCAGCAGCCGCGGUAAUACGGAGGUGGCAAGCGUUACUCGGUUUGAUUGGGUGUAAAGGGUCCGUAGGCGGCCAAGUAAGUGAAAGGUGAAAUCUCUCGGCUCAACCGAGAAAUUGCCCUUCAUACUGCUUGACUUGAGGAUGGAAGAGGAGAGUGGAACUGCUGGUGGAAGGGUGAAAUCUGUGGAUACCAGCAGGAACGCCUGUGGAGAAGUCGACUCUCUGGUCCAAACCUGACGCUGAGGGACGAAAGCUAGGGGAGCGAACAGGAUUAGAUACCCUGGUAGUCCUAGCUGUAAACGAUGGGCACUAUGUGCUCCGUAAGGAUGGGUGCCGUAGGUAACCCGAUAAGUGCCCCACCUGGGGACUACGGCCGCAAGGCUAAAACUCAAAGGAAUUGACGGGGGCCCGCACAAGCGGUGGAACAUGUGGUUUAAUUCGAUGCUACGCGAGGAACCUUAUCCAGGGCUUGACAUGCUGGAAGUAUUUUUGUGGAAACAUGAAAAGACCCGUAACCAGUCGGGUACCAGCACAGGUGCUGCAUGGCUGUCGUCAGCUCGUGCCGUGAGGUGUUCCCUUAAGUGGGAGAACGAGCGCAACCCUCGCCCUUAGUUGCCACUUCUGGUAUUUAUACCAGAAAGCACUCUAAGGGGACUGCCCGCGUUAAGUGGGAGGAAGGUGGGGAUGACGUCAAGUCCGCAUGGCCUUUAUGCCCUGGGCUACACACGUGUUACAAUGCCUGCGACAAAGGGCAGCCAAACCGUAAGGUGGAGCAAAUCCCAUAAAAGCAGGCCCAGUUCGGAUUGAGGGCUGCAACUCGCCCUCAUGAAGUUGGAAUCGCUAGUAAUGGCGCAUCAGCAACGGCGCCGUGAAUACGUUCCCGGGCCUUGUACACACCGCCCGUCAAGCGCUGAAAGUGGGGGGCACCCGAAGUCCCGCGUAUGCGAGAUCACGGUGAAUUUCAUGAUUGGCGCUAAGUCGUAACAAGGUA
rnacentral:rRNA from 1 species